AAAAGGCCUAUGUAUUUUGUUUGUGUAACCGUAGUUUCGAAAAGUCAAAAACGAAGUUCGUUAUAAUAAAAAGUUCGAAAUGUCAAUUCGUAUUUCUCAUGUGUUUUGUUUGUGUAAUUUGUUCAAAUGGAAGGAAGAACAAGCUAUAAAUUCUAUAAAUUCGCCUAGGAAUUUUCGGGGAUGAUAUCUAGUGUGUAAAAAGAGAAUUUAACAAGCGUCAACAAUGGGAACUAAACCGGUUAAAGAUGGCCACUUCAAAGAGGAAAGACUUAAAAGAACAGUCGCUCAUAAUGAAACAUCCGUUGACCUCUCAGACAGAUAAUUCCAAACACUAAGUAUGUUUAGUUGCAACUAUCAAAAGACGUUUUGCUAUUAAAGUUGUAAAUCAUAGCAAAUGUAUGUAUGUAAAUUGUAUGCAAAUACAUAUAAUACAUAUUCCAACAUAACAGCAGUAAAAAGUGGAA